GGGUAUUAGACUAAUAUUCAAAGGGAGAAAAGAGACAUGAAAGAACUUACGGGAUUUGAACUACAUUCAUCCACUUUCAAACAAUAACUUUUCCUCUAUUUUUCUUUUCUUUUAUCUUUUUAUUCUCUCUUUUUUUUUUCAGAAGGAAAAUAUAAUGACAUCUUUUGAUUUUUCCACUUUUUUUUUUCAUUUUCUACAUAUAUAUUUUUUUCUUUUUUCUAUCAACUUUUAAAUAAAAUAUCCCAACUAUAGUUAUUCAACCCCACACAACUCCAAACAAGACACUUUCAACCCUAUGAAUGGAUGAUAACAUUGUUUUUUAUUUUAAGGCUUGUAAUGAGUUUAAACAAAGAAUGGGAUAAUAGGUUCAAGGAGUUUUCAAACAAG
rnacentral:lncRNA from 1 species